GUUGCAGUUAAAAAGCUCGUAGUUGGAUUUCUGCGGGGGCGGGGCGGCCGGAUGCUUAUAGCAUCUCGAGCUAGCACUUCCCCCGCAUCCUGCCGCGAACCGUGCUACCAUUAGUUUGGUGGCGCUGGGGAUCGGCUCGUUUACUUUGAGAAAAAUAGAGUGUUAAAAGCAGGCCACACGCCUUGAAUAAGUUAGCAUGGAAUAAUGAUAAAGGACUUCGGUUCUAUUUUGUUGGUGUUCGGGACUGAAGUAAUGAUUGAUAGGGACAGUUGGGGCGGUCAGUAUUCCAAAGCGAGAGGUGAAAUUCUUAGACCUUCGGAAGACUAACAGCUGCGAAAGCGUUCCGCAAGGAUGUUCCCUUUGAUCAAGAACGAAAGUUGGGGGAUCGAAGACGAUCAGAUACCGUCGUAGUCUCAACUAUAAACUAUACCAGCUAGGGAUCGGCCGACGUUUACUUAUAUCGACUCGGUCGGCACCUUAUG
rnacentral:rRNA from 1 species